rnacentral:rRNA from 1 species
AACGAACGCUGGCGGCAUGCCUAACACAUGCAAGUCGAACGAGACCUUCGGGUCUAGUGGCGUACGGGUGCGUAACGCGUGGGAACCUGCCCUUAGGUUCGGAAUAACUCCCCGAAAGGGGUGCUAAUACCGGAUAAUGUCUUCGGACCAAAGAUUUAUCGCCUUUGGAUGGGCCCGCGUUGGAUUAGCUAGUUGGUAGGGUAAAAGCCUACCAAGGCGACGAUCCAUAGCUGGUCUGAGAGGAUGAUCAGCCACACUGGGACUGAGACACGGCCCAGACUCCUACGGGAGGCAGCAGUGGGGAAUAUUGGACAAGGGGCGAAAGGCUGAUCCAGCAAUGCCGGGUGAGUGAUGAAGGCCUUAGGGUUGUAAAGCUCUUUUACCCGGGAUGAAUAUGACAGUACCGGGAGAAUAAGCUCCGGCUAACUCCGUG